rnacentral:rRNA from 1 species
GGUUUCGCCGUUGGCAAGUCUCGAAGUAGUAGUUUUGAUUCCUGGGCUCAAGGACAACGCUGGCGGCGUGACUUCAAAACAUGCAAAGUCGAACGGAGUUAAUUUAGCUUGCUAAAUUAACUUAGUGGCGGACUGGUGAGUAACGCGUGAGUAAUCUGCCUAUUACAGGGGGAUAACAGUUGGAAACGACUGCUAAUACCGCAUAAGACCACGGGAAGGCAUCUUCAAGGGGUCAAAGGGAUACUGGUAAUAGAUGAGCUUGCGUAUCAUUAGCUAGAUGGGUGAGGGUAAAGGCCCACCAUGGCGACGAUGAUUAGCCGAUCUGAGAGGAUGACCGGCCACACUGGAACUGAGAUACGGUCCAGACUCCUACGGGAGGCAGCAGUUAGGAAUAUUGGGCAAUGGAGGAAACUCUGACCCAGCAACGCCGCGUGAAGGAAGAAGGUUUUCGGAUUGUAAACUUCUGAUCUUGGGGAAAAGAAAGUGAUGGUACCCAAGGAGAAAGCCACGGCUAACUACGUG